rnacentral:rRNA from 1 species
UUUACAAUGGAGAGUUUGAUCCUGGCUCAGGAUGAACGCUAGCGGCAGGCCUAAUACAUGCAAGUCGAGGGGCAGCACGGGUAGCAAUACUGGGUGGCG